UGAGAUGACAUCACAUGAAUUCAGUGUUCUCCUUGUCACAAGGCAGGCCAGACCUUUUCACCUUGUACGAUAAACUAUACGCUUUCUACUUGAAAAAUUAAAAGUACAAAAAGCACAAGUGCAGGUUCCACUAAUAUCGCCCAAGAUGUCUUAUAUAAUAUAAUCACUAUAGGUCUUUUUUUAACAUCAUAAUAUAGAAUAUUAUAAUUUCUCUAUACAGAUGCAAAAAAACUUGAACACAUCAAUGCUCUUAUUUUAAUGGGAUAUAUUCUGAACUCACACACACUUUGCAGUUUACAUGAGUGCAUCCAAAGGGAGUGUGUAUUUGUAAUAAUAAGUCUGACCCUGUUUUCCACCUCAGAUAUCCAGAUACUUAAACCAUCAACAUCACUCUCACGACAUGCUGAACUGCAAAACACAAUGCCAUACUGGUCCUGGAUCUGUCGCAGAGAUAUAAAAUAUCCAGAUACUUAAACCAUCAACAUCACUCUCACGACAUGCUGAACUGCAAAACACAAUGCCAUACUGGUCCUGGAUCUGUCGCAGAGAUAUAAAGUAAGCCAUAUUAGCUACUGUUUGUGUUCUUCUUUUAAUAAAAUGUGUAAUACUCCAAGAAGUAAAUAACAAAUAGAGUUAAUUGCUGGCAUUUAAAAUAAAGUGUAAUGAGUCCUGAAGCUGAACUAUCGUCUACAACUCCAACACAGUUUCAGUCUGUUUUCAUUUGUAAUUAAUUAUUAUUUUAAGGAUGAGUUUAAAUGACCAUAACUCAGCCCAGUCUGAUUGUACAAAGCCCCAGUUGUCCAGGAUUUAGGUAUUGUUCAAGCCAUAGCCACCAUGAUGCAACCAUAAUUGUGUAUAGCUAUGUGUAUUUUAAUGUAGGUCCACACGUAGAAUAAAAACAAUAUUUUUUGAUUGUUAGAAAAACAAAAUUACAGGACUUUUGUGUCAGAUGUGUGCACUACCUGAGUGUUUUCCAGUGUGGACACUAUUCAAAUAAACAGAGGUCUGUGUUU